UACGUAGGGUCCGAGCGUUAAUCGGAAUUACUGGGCGUAAAGCGUGCGCAGGCGGUUUUGUAAGACAGAUGUGAAAUCCCCGAGCUUAACUUGGGAACUGCAUUUGGGACUGCAAGGCUGGAGUACGGCAGAGGGAGGUGGAAUUCCACGUGUAGCAGUGAAAUGCGUAGAGAUGUGGAGGAACACCGAUGGCGAAGGCAGCCUCCUGGGCUAGUACUGACGCUCAUGCACGAAAGCGUGGGGAGCAAACAGG
rnacentral:rRNA from 1 species